GCCUGGACAGCUCAGUUGGUUAGAGUGUGGUGUUGAUAACACCAAGGUUUCAGUUCAAUCCCUGUGUAUGGGACA